CACAUUAAUGUAUUUUUAAGUGACUUGUUUGUAAUACAUGAAUUUGUUUUUUACAGAUGUCAAAGUCUCAACCUCAUGCUGCCCUCCCCCAUCCUCCUAAACCUGUGGAUACAAAUGCAGAUUUCCUUAAUGUUCAAUGGUGCGUGUUCUUCUAAUGGCCGCCUUCCCACUGGAGGUUUUGAUCCACAGCAAUUUAAAAGGUAAUCAGCUUUGAAAGUCAGUUCAAAUGGUUAGCUAAUAGUACUUUAAAAAGCCUACAACUCUGUCACCAGUUUCUUUACCAAAAAUUACCCAUAAAA